CAGAACUGUACCGUUAGGACCACCUUAAAAUUCUCUGCUUCUGCAAAAUAGAAAAUGUGGCUCUAGUAAACUUUAAAUGGGCCAAAGCUCGUAUGGCCACUUCAUUGUGUCUAAGUUUAGCCCUCACUCCUUAGUGACUUUCUAAUGACACUGUGGUGGAGUGUCAGAGGAGCUGAACCCUCUUGGGGUCCCCCGCAGUGCCCCGCUAAAGUGGGCACCUGGGCACAGAUGGGCUGGAUGGGCACUGGCCCUGGUGUCAGCCAUCUUUGUCAGGCUGGAUGAUGGAGCUGAGUCUAUCUGAGCACCAACCAGAGCUGUGCCAAGCUCCCAGCAGGCUCCCAGGAUGCAACAGAACUAAUGGCCACCAUGAGGAUUCAUCUGCUGUGGAGAGCACUAACACAUCCACUUCCUGGUGCUGCAUGGGUCCCGGCAUAGAGUCUAAAGUCCACAUGCUGGAGAACAGGACGGCGUCGCUGAAGUGCUGCUGGUCAGAGGUGAUUGAUCAGGAGGAAGAGUAUAGUAAUGGAGUGGUCUUCAAUCCGCUCACAUCUGUGUGUGCUGACAGAGCCCCAGCCAGCAUCCUCAUCCCGCCUGCUACAGUCCAUCUGUACAUGGGUACCAGGCGAGCCGGUCCCUGCGCAUGUUCCAUCUCCCUCUGCUACUGCUGCCACCCAAACAGAAGGUCCUUCUGCAGCUACCCACAGACAGUUCUGCCCAUCCUCAGAGGAGCU
ensembl:lncRNA